rnacentral:lncRNA from 1 species
CUCUAAAGCAAUUAUUCUGUUCAAAAGAGGAUUUGUUUGUGAUAUUCCUUUAAGAAUCUUUAUUUAUUCCCCCAACAGUUUCUUUUUCUGCAUCCGCUGCUCUGUUAAGUGAUCACCACAUUCAUUGUUCUCGUUUCUAUUAUUUCUGAAAAAAAUCUUCAGGAUUCUGCUUGUGGGAGUGGAUGACAUUUUUACAGUGUUUACAGCUUUAUCUAUUCCAGAAUGUCAUAUAGCUGGUAUAAGAACCUGAAGAUUGGAUCUUCUGAGAACAUCAGAGAAAGACUGUCCUUGCCAUCCAUACUACAGCAAAACUUUGGGACCUUGAACUUUGGGUUCACAAUCUCACAACCAAGAAGGAUCCCUCUACAAUUUUGGAACAGUACACCCAUUGGAAACCUUAAGGUAAAGCUAACCAGGAAAGUUUCUCCCCAGAAGAAGAUGGCAUCCUUGAUGUGAACAGCUUUUCCCAAGAACAUGAAUUCUCUACUGUUAUGAGACUCUUAUCUUAGAAUAUUUUCCUUGUUUAUGACUCUAUGAACAAUAGAAUGAAAUGAAAAGGGGGUUUGUUUUGUGCACUUAUGGGGUAUAAUUUUAUGUGUGAAUGAUUUUGCACCCAGCCUUAUACAUGGAUAAACUUAUACUUUAAUAGAUAAAAAAUAAAGGUCCAGUGUAAGUGAGAAA